GAUGAAGAACAUAGCGAAAUGCGAUAAGUAAUGUGAAUUGCAGAAUUCAGUGAAUCAUCGAAUCUUUGAACGCACCUUGCGCCCUUUGGCUAUUCCGAAGGGCAUGCCUGUUUGAGUAUCGUGAACACCUCAACUCUCAUGGUUUGCCAUGAUGAGCUUGGACUUGGGGGUUUUGCUGGCCUUCGGUCGGCUCCUCUCAAACGGAUCAGCUUUCCAGUGUUUGGUGGCGUCACGGGUGUGAUAACUAUCUACGCCUGUGGUUUUCUGCCAGAUAACCUUCAGCGAUGGAGGUUCGCUGGGGCUCAUAAAUGUCUCUCUUCAGUGGAGACAGCUUUUUGGACGUUUGAUCUCAAAUCAGGUAGGACUACCCGCUGAACUUAAGCAUAUCAAUAAGCGGAGGA
rnacentral:misc_RNA from 1 species